rnacentral:rRNA from 1 species
GGGACACGUAAGGAAAGCGGAAGCCGGGAAUGGAAAGCCCGGUGCAAGCGGGGUACCAGUCACUUUGGCAAAUCCGGGUGGCAAUGGGAAGCCGUGAUGCGGAGUGAAAUAAAGUAACGAAGUCCGUGAGCCAUGCGUCAAGAAAAGCCGCUAUCGUUCAUACCGUACCCGUACCGUAAACCGACACAGGUGGAUGAGGAGAGAAUCCUAAGGCCGGCGGAAGAAGCAUUGUCAAGGAACUCGGCAAAAUGGCCCCGUAACUUAGGGAUAAGGGGUGCCUGGGAAACCAGGCCGCAGAGAAUAGGCUCAAGCAACUGUUUAGCAAAAACACAGGUCUAUGCGAAACCGAAAGGUGAGGUAUAUGGGCUGACGCCUGCCCGGUGCUGGAAGGUUGAGAGGAAAGGUUAGCGGUAACGCGAAGCUUUGAAUUUAAGCCCCAGUAAACGGCGGCCGUAACAAUAACGGUCCUAAGGUAGCGAAAUUCCUUGUCGGGUAAGUUCCGACCCGCACGAAAGGCGUAAUGAUUUGAGCGCUGUCUCGACAAUGCAUCCGGUGAAAUUGAAGUACCAGUGAAGAUGCUGGUUACCUGCGCCAGGACGGAAAGACCCCAUGGAGCUUUACUCCAGUCUGGUACUGGGACUCGGUAUUGCAUGUACAGGAUAGGUGGGAGGCUAGGAGAUGGUAACGCCAGUUGCCAUGGAGCCGCUGUUGGGAUACCACCCUUGCAGUAUUGGGUUUCUAACCAGCCGCCGUGACCCGGCGGUGGGACAAUGCCAGACGGGGAGUUUGACUGGGGCGGUCGCCUCCGAAAGGGUAUCGGAGGCGCCCAAAGGUUCCCUCAGAAUGGACGGAAACCAUUCGAAGAGUGCAGAGGCAGAAGGGAGCUUGACUGCGACACCGACGGGUGGAGCAGGUACGAAAGUAGGGCUUAGUGAUCCGGUGGUAUUAAGUGGGAAUGCCAUCGCUCAACGGAUAAAAGCUACCCUGGGAUAACAGGCUUAUCACUCCCAAGAGUUCACAUCGACGGAGUGGUUUGGCACCUCGAUGUCGGCUCAUCGCAUCCUGGGGCUGUAGUAGGUCCCAAGGGUUGGGCUGUUCGCCCAUUAAAGCGGUACGCGAGCUGGGUUCAGAACGUCGUGAGACAGCUCGGUCCCUAUCCGGCGUGGGCGUAGGAUAUCUGAGAGGAGCUGUCCUUAGUACGAGAGGACCGGGAUGGACGGGCCGCUGGUGCAUCGGUUAGACUGCCAAGUCUACGGCCGAGUAGCCAAGCCCGGAAGGGAUAAACGCUGAAGGCAUCUAAGCGUGAAGCCCCCCUUAAGAUGAGAUAUCCCAUUCGUUAAGAAGUAAACCCCCUUGAAGACGACGAGGUAGAUAGGGCAGAGGUGGAAGUGCAGCAAUGCAUGGAGCUGACUGUUACUAAUCGGGUGAGGGCUUGACCU